ensembl:lncRNA
AACGUACCUCUGGGCGGCCGUGUUCGCAUCCACCACCCCAGCCGUGUGCAUCCACGAUCGGACCGAAUUCAUGCCACUGCCCAGCGGUUCCUCUUUCAUAGUGGUCCCCCCUCUUGGUAUAUUUUCCUGAAUCCCAAACAUUAAAACAGUUCGCGUGCAACACACUUCCAGCCAAAGAGAUGAAAUGAGAGUGUGAGCGAGGGCGCGUCGUCUCUCCAAGAGCCCCUUCGGAUAGCCGUGAGAGUUUGUUUGGGAUUUGUCGAAAAGAGAAGAAGAAGAAGAAGAAAAGAAAAAGCUGUCCCGACUCCUUCUUCAGUCCGUCCUGCGUUGGCACCACAUGAACGAUUCAGUGCGUGAAGAUUCUCAAGCCUCUCCAAGCAGCUUGUUUGGAUAGAUGGAGAUCCUCCCGUGGAAGAAGCGAAACAAGUCGCGCAAAUAGCAGGGAUAUUAGACUCGUUUUAAUUCAGUUAAACAUUUCUUGCAGCUUUCUGUUGUUGUUGUUGUUGUUGUUGAUGAUGAUGAUGAUGAUGGAGGUGAUGAUGCUCUUAGCUUGGUGGCAUCCUAUAACAACAGCAUCAAAAAAGGCUUCGGGACACUGCUGAAUCCAGCACUUCUGGCUCCAAAAGACAAAUAAACGCGUAAAUGAUCACCGUGGAGGUGUUCCCGGACACGGGAGAGGAUGAUGAGGGGCCUUUAGCGCGUCUUUGCAGAAUGGAUGGAAGCAUACAAAACUCAACCCUCUAUCCCCCAGGACUGGAACCUUUCCCGGGAGCCAAAAACUCCAGACCCACGGGAUACACGCUGUCAGAGGAUGACGCGCACGUGGGCGUGGCUUUGCCCAUACAUGGAGAGGAUUGACGCUUCCUGUCGCUGGGCUUUAAGCUUGGACCGUGAGUGCAUACGCGACUAGAGUCGCUGCUGCUGCUGACGCCGCUGCUGCUUUUCCAGUGCGCAUUGUGUCAAGUAAUCAUCAGACAGGGACAAAAAUGAAUGAUAAUGAAAGCCCGCGAAUAAGGCGCGGCGCGCGGGAACUAUAUUUCCUGAAAAACUGCCAUGCAAGUUUAUAGAGUGCAAAAGAGCACUGACUGACCACCCAUCCGCUGCAAUCGGUUUCCAGAAUAAAUAAAUAAAUAAAUAAAAAGUCUUACUGGGCCAUCAUUACUCUGACAGCAGUGCCAAACGUCCCGGACGCAAGCCUCCAAAUCGAUUCAAUUUGAUUACUCUCAAAUCAGGAAGGUGUGCUGGCAUUUUAAGACUACAUGCUCCUUAUAAUAAACACCCUGGGCAUCUGCAUAAUGGCGUAAUGCGCGUCUUAAAUUAUGGCAACGUGUACUGCUUGAAUACUGCGAGACCCGGUUUGCGUGCGUGGAGCGAGCCGAGGCGAUGUCAAACUCAUAGUCCUAGCGCGUACUCGCUUAAUUUUGUAAAUUAUUGCAGAAUUACAUCUGAAAGUGUGAAAGGACUCGGGGGAAACAUUGCGUCCACCCUCUCCUUCUAUGCGCAAGAAGUAGGAUGUCUUUUGUAAUAAAAAUAUAAUCAUUUAUCAGGACAAUAAGGGUCAUUUUCCACCCUUUCAUUUCGUAAGGUGCUCGUGUCUCCGAUAUUGACAGACUCUGCAUGUAUGUUAAUAUUUGAAUUAAUGGGGGAAAAUGGAAGUCCGAUGUUGGUUAUCUGGGGACCCUGUGCGCUGGAGGGAGGGAUGGAUGGAUGGACGGACGGAGAGAGGAGAAGAGAGAUGUGUUUUACACAGCAAUCUAUUCUGCUAGUGUUGGGGGUUAAUGACUAUUGCCAAAGAUAAGUGAAUUAUCAAAGCUGUUGCUCUUGCCUCGACUCAAAAUCCAUCACAUUGCAUCGUCGUCUAAUUAAAUACAUGCUGUCAGAGAAUCUAAGAGCUGUAAAGAGAAAGAAAAAGGCAGAGAAAGUAAGAAAGGAAACCUACUCAGUUGGAGAACGUGAAGAUCAUUCUGAUGUGUGAACUCUGCAUUAUUAACAGACAGAAAGAUGAAGAUGCAGCCGUGAAAAACACCAAGUAAAUGCUUAAAAUAAGUACUGUCAGCUCGGCGCUGUGUACCGGGACCCCAGAGGUGAAAUAAAAAAACUGUGAAAAAAUUCACAGAGCUUUAAAUUAAACAGUGAAAUGCAACAUCUGUGUUCAAAAACCUUUUACCCCCAAUUUCACAUGUAUUGUUUUCUAUUUUUUUGUGUGUGUGUGUGUGUGUGUGUGUGUGUGUGUGUGUGUCUAUGUAAGUGGAGAAGUUUUAAAAGAUUGUAGGCACUGACUCAUUUCCACUGAUUCAAAAAUCGAAGGGAACGAACAACGACGUGAUUUUGGUGAACACAUGGCCUUGGUGAAGAGCCGCCCUAGUUUCCUGAGCUGCUCUGCGAGGAAGAGGGUGUGUUAGAAACAGCAUAUGGAGGGCAUGUUUGUUAGUGCGCCGCUGAUAAAUGGAUUAAUUGGUUAGAUUAGGCUGCCAAAGCUUUGAUCACAGAAACAGCGCAAAGAAAUGUGUUUAUUGUUUAUGAUGAUUUUGUUCAUUGAGCUGUAGCAUGGGCUAAAUAUGCAAUGAAUAAAAAUGAUGCAUUCGUGUGUACUUGUUAUUUCCUGUUUGGAGCAGAAAAUAAACUCAUAACUCAUUGUGAAAUGGUUUUGAAUGUGAAAUAUGAGCCGCAAAAGACUUCUGUUCUCAGAACUUGCUUCAUUUUAAGAACUUUUUACAGAACAGUCAACUAGAAUGAAUAUUUCAAACAGUG